rnacentral:rRNA from 1 species
GUUAGGAAUAUUGGACAAUGGGCGCAAGCCUGAUCCAGCCAUGCCGCGUGAGUGAUGAAGGCCUUCGGGUUGUAAAGCUCUUUAGCCGAUGAUUAUAAUGACUGUAGUCGGAAAAUAAGCCCCGGCUAACUUCGUGCCAGCAGCCGCGGUAAUACGAAGGGGGCGAGCGUUAUUCGGAAUCACUGGGCGUAAAGCGUGCGUAGGCGGCUUUGCAAGUUGGGAGUGAAAGCCCGGGGCUCAACCCUGGAAUUGCUCUCAAAACUGCAAGGCUCGAAUUCGGGAGAGGAUAGCGGAAUUGUCAGUGUAGCAGUGAAAUGCGUAGAUAUUGACAGGAACACCAGUGGCGCAAGCGGCUAUCUGGACCGAUAUUGACGCUGAGGCACGAAAGCGUGGGGAGCAAACAGGAUUAGAAACCCCGGUAGUCC